GUAAGGAAUAUUGGUCAAUGGGCGGAAGCCUGAACCAGCCAUGCCGCGUGCAGGACGACGGCCCUACGGGUUGUAAACUGCUUUUGCCCGGGAAUAACCCCCCGCUCUUGAGCGGGGCUGAACGUACCGGGAGAAUAAGGAUCGGCUAACUCCGUGCCAGCAGCCGCGGUAAUACGGAGGAUCCGAGCGUUAUCCGGAUUUAUUGGGUUUAAAGGGUGCGUAGGCGGCCCGUUAAGUCAGGGGUGAAAUACGGCAGCUCAACUGUCGCAGUGCCCUUGAUACUGACGGGCUUGAAUACCGGUGAAGGCGGCGGAAUGAGACAAGUAGCGGUGAAAUGCAUAGAUAUGUCUCAGAACCCCGAUUGCGAAGGCAGCUGCCUAACCGGCGAUUGACGCUGAUGCACGAAAGCGUGGGGAUCGAACAGGAUUAGAAACCCGGGUAGUCC
rnacentral:rRNA from 1 species